rnacentral:misc_RNA from 1 species
UCGCACCUUGCGGCGGCAGUGUCUCCAGAGUGCCCAGCAUCACCUGAUGGCAACUGAAGAGAGGGGUUGCGCUCGUUAUGGCACUUAAGCCGACACCUCACGGCACGAGCUGACGACAACCAUGCAGCACCUCCGCAGCAGCCCCGAAGGGAAGGGGUGUCUCCACCCCAUGCAGCUGCAGUUCAAGCCCGGGUAAGGUUCCUCGCGUAUCAUCGAAUUAAACCACAUGUUCCUCCGCUUGUGCGGGCCCCCGUCAAUUCCUUUGAGUUUCACCGUUGCCGGCGUACUCCCCAGGUGGGAUGCUUAACGCUUUCGCUUGGCCGCGCACCACAAGGGCGCACAGCGGGCAUCCAUCGUUUACCGCGCGGACUAC